rnacentral:lncRNA from 1 species
AACAUUUUGGUGAAUUAAGUGUAAAUGAAUCAGGAAACACACGGAUUUUAUUUCCCUUGCCAUAUGCGUGGGUUUAAAAAUUAAUGGAAAAAAGUUCUUGGCACAACAUGUUUUGAAUUUUAUUUGACUUUUUUCUCUUAUGAUCUCUGGAAGAUGGAAGCUGAGGAAUGAUGAAGACAGUGGAAUCAAAGGAAAUUCAUGAAGUUUGGUGUUUUACACAUGGCCCCACCCAUCUUCAGCAACAUUGAUUAAAACUCAUGAAGUUACUG